rnacentral:rRNA from 1 species
UACGUAGGGUGCAAGCGUUAUUCGGAAUUACUGGGCGUAAAGCGUGCGCAGGCGGUGAUGUAAGACAGUUGUGAAAUCCCCGGGCUCAACCUGGGAACUGCUUCUGUGACUGCAUCGCUGGAGUGCGGCAGAGGGGGAUGGAAUUCCGCGUGUAGCAGUGAAAUGCGUAGAUAUGCGGAGGAACACCGAUGGCGAAGGCAAUCCCCUGGGCCUGCACUGACGCUCAUGCACGAAAGCGUGGGGAGCAAACAGG